GCAGACCUCCUGUUGAAGAGCAUCUCCAAUGUGCUAUGAACCAUCUGACUAGAAAGCCGUCUCGUUUAACUCAUUGAGGACACUUGGUAUACAGCAACCUACAGAGGGGCCCAAUGGCAGUUUGUGAAGACAGACAAACAAGAGAUGCUGUGUCAACCUGGACAGAAGUCUGUUUCAGAUCCACCUUCCACACCAGAUUCUCAUAUGGAUUGCUGUCUACUAGCAUAUUAUUUGUUCUCCUCAGAAUUUAG